rnacentral:rRNA from 1 species
UACGGAGGAUGCGAGCGUUAUCCGGAUUUAUUGGGUUUAAAGGGUGCGUAGGCGGACUGUCAAGUCAGCGGUAAAAUACGGGGGCUCAACCUCCGCCCGCCGUUGAAACUGACGGUCUUGAGUGGGCGAGAAGUAUGCGGAAUGCGUGGUGUAGCGGUGAAAUGCAUAGAUAUCACGCAGAACUCCGAUUGCGAAGGCAGCUUACCAAGCUACUUCUGACGUUGAGGCACGAAAGCGUGGGGAGCAAACAGG